AUGUCUGAAGGUCAGGAUCAGGGAGGAGAGGUUUAUAUGUCUGAAGGUCAGGAUCAGGGAGGAGAGGAGAGGUUUAUAUGUCUGAAGGUCAGGAUCAGAGAGGAGAGGAGAGGUUUAUAUGUCUGAAGGUCAGGAUCAGGGAGGAGAGGUUUAUAUGUCUGAAGGUCGGGAUCAGGGAGGAGAGGUUUAUAUGUCUGAAGGUCGGGAUCAGGGAGGAGAGGUUUAUAUGUCUGAAGGUCAGGAUCAGGGAGGAGAGGAGAGGUUUAUAUGUCUGAAGGUCAGGAUCAGGGAGGAGAGGAGAGGUUUAUAUGUCUGAGGGUCAGGAUCAGGGAGGAGAGGUUUAUAUGUCUGAAGAUCGGGAUCAUGAAGGAGAGGAGAGGUUUAUAUGUCUGAAGGUCAGGAUCAGGGAGGAGAGGUUUAUAUGUCUGAAGGUCAGGAUCAGGGAGGAGAGGUUUAUAUGUCUGAAGGUCAGGAUCAGGGAGGAGAGGAGAGGUUUAUAUGUCUGAAGGUCAGGAUCAGAGAGGAGAGGUUUAUAUGUCUGAAGGUCAGGAUCAGAGAGGAGAGGUUUAUAUGUCUGACGGUCGGGAUCAGGGAGGAGAGCUUUAUAUGUCUGAAGGUCAGGAUCAGGGAGGAGAGGAGAGGUUUAUAUGUCUGAAGGUCAGGAUCAGGGAGGAGAGGUUUAUAUGUCUGAAGGUCAGGAUCAGGGAGGAGAGGUUAUAUGUCUGAAGGUCAGGAUCAGGGAGGAGAGGUUUAUAUGUCUGAAGGUCAGGAUCAGAGAGGAGAGGAGAGGUUUAUAUGUCUGAAGGUCAGGAUCAGAGAAGAGAGGAGAGGUUUAUAUGUCUGAGGGUCAGGAUCAGGGAGGAGAGGUUUAUAUGUCUGAAGGUCGGGAUCAUGAAGGAGAGGAGAGGUUUAUAUGUCUGAAGGUCAGGAUCAGGGAGGAGAGGUUUAUAUGUCUGAAGGUCAGGAUCAGGGAGGAGAGGUUUAUAUGUCUGAAGGUCAGGAUCAGAGAGGAGAGGUGUAUAUGUCUGAAGGUCAGGAUCAGAGAGGAGAGGAGAGGUUUAUAUGUCUGAAGGUCAGGAUCAGGGAGGAGAGGAGAGGUUCAUAUGUCUGAAGAUCAGGAUCAGGGAGAAGAGGUUUAUAUGUCUGAAGGUCAGGAUCAGGGAGGAGAGGUUUAUAUGUCUGAAGGUCGGGAUCAGAGAGGAGAGGUUUAUAUGUCUGAAGGUCAGGAUCAGGGAGGAGAGGUUUAUAUGUCUGAAGGUCAGGAUCAGAGAGGAGAGGUUUAUAUGUCUGAAGGUCAGGAUCAGAGAGGAGAGGAGAGGUUUAUAUGUCUGAAGGUCAGGAUCAGAGAGGAGAGGUUUAUAUGACUGAGGGUCAGGAUCAGGGAGGAGAGGUUUAUAUGUCUGAAGGUCGGGAUCAGGAAGGAGAGGAGAGGUUUAUAUGUCUGAAGGUCAGGAUCAGGGAGGAGAGGUUUAUAUGUCUGAAGGUCAGGAUCAGGGAGGAGAGGUUUAUAUGUCUGAAGGUCAGGAUCAGGGAGGAGAGGAGAGGUUUAUAUGUCUGACGGUCGGGAUCAGGGAGGGGAGGAGAGGUUUAUAUGUCUGAAGGUCAGGAUCAGGGAGGAGAGGUUUAUAUGUCUGAAGGUCGGGAUCAGGGAGGAGACGUUUAUAUGUCUGAAGGUCGGGAUCAGAGAGGAGAGGUUUAUA